AUCACUGAGGAUCUUGUUAAAAUGCAGAUUCUGAUCAGGUCUGGGCAAGACCUGAGAUUCUGCAUUUCUAACAGGCUCCCCAGUGAAGCAAA
rfam:Myotis lucifugus cont2.17368, whole genome shotgun sequence.